GUUAUAUCACGUUGAAACACCGGUUCACGUAUGAUCAUCAAAGUUAAGCAACGUCAAUCCUGGUCAGUACUUAGAUUGGUGACCGCUUGAAAAUACAAGUUGCUGUC